rnacentral:rRNA from 1 species
UACUCGAGUGGCGAACGGGUGAGUAACACGUGGGUAAUCUGCCCUGCACUUCGGGAUAAGCCUGGGAAACUGGGUCUAAUACCGAAUAGGACCAUUUAGCGCAUGCUUUAUGGUGGAAAGCUUUUGCGGUGUGGGAUGGGCCCGCGGCCUAUCAGCUUGUUGGUGGGGUGACGGCCUACCAAGGCGACGACGGGUAGCCGGCCUGAGAGGGUGUCCGGCCACACUGGGACUGAGAUACGGCCCAGACUCCUACGGGAGGCAGCAGUGGGGAAUAUUGCACAAUGGGCGCCAGCCUGAUGCAGCGACGCCGCGUGGAGGAUGACGGCCUUCGGGUUGUAAACCUCUUUCAGCAGGGACGAAGCGCAAGUGACGGUACCUGCAGAAGAAGUACCGGCCAACUACGUGCCAGCAGCCUCGGUAAUACGUAGGGUGCGAGCGUUGUCCGGAAUUACUGGGCGUAAAGAGCUCGUAGGUGGUUUGUCGCGUUGUUCGUGAAAACCGGGGGCUUAACCCUCGGCGUGCGGGCGAUACGGGCAGACUGGAGUACUGCAGGGGAGACUGGAAUUCCUGGUGUAGCGGUGGAAUGCGCAGAUAUCAGGAGGAACACCGGUGGCGAAGGCGGGUCUCUGGGCAGUAACUGACGCUGAGGAGCGAAAGCGUGGGGAGCGAACAGGAUUAGAUACCCUGGUAGUCCACGCCGUAAACGGUGGGUACUAGGUGUGGGUUUCCUUCCUUGGAAUCCGUGCCGUAGCUAACGCAUUAAGUACCCCGCCUGGGGAGUACGGCCGCAAGGCUAAAACUCAAAGGAAUUGACGGGGGCCCGCACAAGCGGCGGAGCAUGUGGAUUAAUUCGAUGCAACGCGAAGAACCUUACCUGGGUUUGACAUGCACAGGACGCCGGCAGAGAUGUCGGUUCCCUUGUGGCCUGUGUGCAGGUGGUGCAUGGCUGUCGUCAGCUCGUGUCGUGAGAUGUUGGGUUAAGUCCCGCAACGAGCGCAACCCUUAUCUUAUGUUGCCAGCGCGUAAUGGCGGGGACUCGUGAGAGACUGCCGGGGUCAACUCGGAGGAAGGUGGGGAUGACGUCAAGUCAUCAUGCCCCUUAUGUCCAGGGCUUCACACAUGCUACAAUGGCCGGUACAAAGGGCUGCGAUGCCGUAAGGUUAAGCGAAUCCUUUUAAAGCCGGUCUCAGUUCGGAUCGGGGUCUGCAACUCGACCCCGUGAAGUCGGAGUCGCUAGUAAUCGCAGAUCAGCAACGCUGCGGUGAAUACGUUCCCGGGCCUUGUACACACCGCCCGUCACGUCAUGAAAGUCGGUAACACCCGAAGCCA